ensembl:lncRNA
AUGUUGUUGAGCUCAGGGGUGAAGCCCCCCCAUGGCGAAGGAAACGGCCCGAAGAAAGGCCUCAUGCUGGAGGGAGAGGGGCCCGGCAGCUUCCUCAACAAUGGAAGUUCUUGGAAGAUUCUAGGAAGGUCCUGUGAUUUACGGUUCAUCUUUUUCUUGAUAGGCAGCAUGAAUGCCACUUUACUUCCUUUUCACUUUGAAACACAGAGCAGUUUCUCAAAAAGUGUGUUUCUUUGCGUGCACGUGAAAGCGUGAUACCCGUGUGACCCAACCGGUCGAGCGGCAUUUUGGCGCCCUUAGAAAAUAAAAGAAAUAUAUUGUGCA